rnacentral:rRNA from 1 species
CCCUUAGAUGUUCUGGGCGGCCCGCGCACUACAUUGGCACUCUCAAUAAGUUCCUAGAUCUAAAACUUUGGGGUAUUCUAUUAAGUGGUGUCGUGACUGGGAUUAACCCUUGCAAUUAUUGGUUACGAACGAGGAAUUCCUUGUAAUCGCGGUUUAUCAGCCCGCGUUGAAUGCGUCCCUGCCCUUUGUACACACCGCCCGUCGCUCCUACCGAUUGGAUGGUCCGGUGAAGCCUCGGGAUUGUGGUUCUUGCCGCUUUAUUGUGGCGUGACCGCGAGAACUUGUCUAAACCUUAUCAUCUAGAGGAAGGUGAAGUCGUAACA